rnacentral:tRNA from 13 species
UGCGUCGGCCGGGAGUCGAACCGGGGUCAACUGCUUGAAAGACAGCUAUGCUAACCGUUAUACCACCGACGC